GUAAAGCACUUUCAGUCGUGAGGAAGGCGGGUACGUUAAUAGCGUAUUCGUUUGACGUUAGCGACAGAAGAAAGCACCGGCUAACUCCGUGCCAGCAGCCGCGGUAAUACGGAGGGUGCGAGCGUUAAUACGGAAUUACUGGGCGUAAAGACGCAUGCAGGUGGUUUGUUAAGUCAGAUGUGAAAGACCCGGGGCGUCAACCUACGGAAGUAGCAUUUAGUAAACUAGGCAGACUAGAGUACUGUAGAGGGGGGUAGGAAUUUCAGGUGUAGCGGUGAAAUGCGUAGAGAUCUGAAGGAAUACCGGUGGCGAAGGCGGCCCCCUGGACAGAUACUGACACUCAGAUGCGAAAGCGUGGGGAGCAAACAGGAUUAGAUACCCUGGUAG
rnacentral:rRNA from 1 species